UGGACUGUGCACCGACUGCACUAGUGGUGGGUAGCCAAAGCUAGCCUCCAAAGUGAACCACGGUCUGGGGCCUGGUCCCGUUUGACCGAAAAUGCUAUCCAGAACCCCCACCGAGCUGCAGGCCCUUCUUCCUGAUUGAGCUAGAGCUUGGAGAAAGGAAGGGGAGAAGGGGUCUUCUGGCCCACCAAGUCGAGGGACAUUGAGGAAGUAAUGAAUCUGUGAUGCGUCCAGAAGAAAAUUCACCCUCUGGGAAAAUGAGCUUCCGUAUUCAUGCUUGGUGUAUCUCCAGCAGUAUCUGCUCUACCUCCAAACAACACUGCAAUUAUUUUUUUUCACCCCGUGGGUGAAAAACCGCUGCCCUAUCUCCCUCAUUUAUUGACUCACACUCCUCCCACAAAACUACAGUGUUGAGGGAUCAGUAACAGAAAUGUUCAAGAAGGCCACACUUGUCUUUAUCACUAAUAUGUGACAUGUAAGAUGGCUUGAAGGAAGUACUGAAAUUAACACCCAGAUGUAAAAGAAUACCCGAAGAUGCCUAGCUGGACAUUGCUAAUACCAACAUUGCAACAGAUCAAUUUGGACAUAAAGCAAACUAUUCAAUAGGGAAGCUAACUAAUAUUCUCUAAUUAGUUAUAAUGAGCAUUUUAAUAGUCUAUGCUGUAUAAAAACAUGUUUAAAUUGAUAUUUAAAAUACACAGCUUCCUAUUCUUUGAAUUAAAUAUUUAAUGUUAUUUUUCCUUAUAGACAAAAAGUUACCUUGAGUCUGCUGGUUUUACAAAAUGAAUUGAAAAUGGAAAUAAAUGUUCCCGUUUAGGCCCCAUUUAAGAGUCACUAGAUUUAGUGUUUAGCUUUUAAUAAAAAUUAUUGCACCCUCUAAUUGGCUGUAAAUUAGGUCCUGUUCUCAUAUUUUACAUCUGUAGAUACCGACAGUUCUUAAACAGUGGAAAUUUUGUGCACAUUCAUAUAAUCUGCUGAAAGUAUAAACAAUGAAAAACGUGGCUGGAAUUUAUUCAUAUUUUUGUACUGACAGAUGAGGCAUUUCAGUUUCAGCUGAAUGAAAGGAUUUUUAAUGGAUUAAUUUAAAGCCAGCACUGGAAUUAUGCAAAAAGAAAUAUGCUAUUGAAAAAUUAAAAAAAGUAUUAGCAUUAGGAAUGAACCCUGCAUUUAAACACAUGAGCAAAAGUUUGACAAGAAGUUAUGACUUUUCAGCAUGACUUUUGGUUUGGUUUUGUCUUCACUUUAAAUUGCGUAAACUAUUGUGUCCUUUAAAAAGUGUAUCAUAAACAAUUAAGAAAAAAUAAAAAAAAUGAAACAGCUUAGGGUUUUUCCCACUUCAAUAUAGAAUUCUUAAAAUUUAUUUCAAAUACAAUAAUCAUACUGGAAUAUAUUUCCAAGCUGAAUUUUCAGAAAUAGUCAAACGAGAAUCCUCAAGUAAAAGGCUAAAGAGUAGUCAUCAUGAGAGGAACUCUACCAAAACACUUAACAUGUUUUGGAAUUUCCAAAUUCAGUCACAUGAAGAAAAGGGAAUGGAAAAAAAAAAAACCUAUCGCAGGCCAUGCAUAACAGGUGAUGUAAAUUUAGAAUAACUAGCAUUUCUAGAAAGUCUUGUGCUUUUUAAUGUUCACCUCUAGUCUUCAGUGCGGGUUCCUUCUCAAAUUACAUAAAAUGUACUUUAAGAAGCACUCACUACCUGCUACAGAUGUCCAGGAAAACUGAAUUAUGGAAGUCGGAAACAUAUGGCAGUUGCCUAUUGCACAAGGAAGGUACAUAUGAAAGUUAUAAAUUUCUUUCUUUAAGUCAGAAUUGUAAACGCAUUUUAUAGGGUUCACAGUAUGUAUUACAUCUGUAGAUUUAAUUUUUGAAAUAUAUGUUUUUUGAGAUAUUUGUGGUUUGAGAUUCUAAGAUAAAUAACUUAUCUUGUUGUAUUUUUAAAAAUCAAGAAAAAAACCCUAACAAAUAAAAAUAAAUAUGUGGAGUGGCAAA